UGAGUAACGCGUGGGUAACCUGCCUCACACUGGGGGAUAGCAGUUGGAAACGACUGAUAAUACCGCAUAAGCACACAGCACCGCAUGGUACAGUGUGAAAAACUCCGGUGGUGUGAGAUGGACCCGCGUCUGAUUAGCUAGUUGGUGAGGUAACGGCCCACCAAGGCGACGAUCAGUAGCCGGCCUGAGAGGGUGUACGGCCACAUUGGGACUGAGACACGGCCCAAACUCCUACGGGAGGCAGCAGUGGGGAAUAUUGCACAAUGGGGGAAACCCUGAUGCAGCGACGCCGCCGUGAGUGAUGAAGUAUCUCGGUAUGUAAAGCUCUAUCAGCAGGGAAGAUAAUGACGGUACCUGACUAAGAAGCACCGGCUAAAUACGUGCCAGCAGCCGC
rnacentral:rRNA from 1 species